ACGUAGGAGGCGAGCGUUGUCCGGAAUCAUUGGGCGUAAAGAGCGCGCAGGCGGCUUGGCAAGUCGGGUGUGAAAUCCCGGGGCUCAACCCCGUGACUGCAUUCGAUACUGUCAGGCUAGAGGUAGGUAGGGGAGAUCGGAAUUCCUGGUGUAGCGGUGAAAUGCGCAGAUAUCAGGAGGAACACCGGUGGCGAAGGCGGAUCUCUGGGCCUUACCUGACGCUCAGGCGCGAAAGCCAGGGGAGCGAACAGGA
rnacentral:rRNA from 1 species